rnacentral:rRNA from 1 species
AACGAACGCUGGCGGCGUGCUUAACACAUGCAAGUCGAGCGAUGAAGUUCCUUCGGGGACGGAUUAGCGGCGGACGGGUGAGUAACACGUGGGUAACCUGCCUCAUAGAGGGGAAUAGCCUUCCGAAAGGAAGAUUAAUACCGCAUAAGAUUGUAGUUUCGCAUGAAAUAGCAAUUAAAGGAGUAAUCCGCUAUGAGAUGGACCCGCGUCGCAUUAGCUAGUUGGUGAGGUAACGGCUCACCAAGGCGACGAUGCGUAGCCGACCUGAGAGGGUGAUCGGCCACAUUGGGACUGAGACACGGCCCAGACUCCUACGGGAGGCAGCAGUGGGGAAGAUUGCACAAUGGGGGAAACCCUGAUGCAGCAACGCCGCGUGAGUGAUGACGGUCUUCGGAUUGUAAAGCUCUGUCUUUAGGGACGAUAAUGACGGUACCUAAGGAGGAAGCCACGGCUAACUACGUGCCAGCCGCCGCGUAAUAC